rnacentral:rRNA from 1 species
UGGGGAAUCUUGCGCAAUGGGCGAAAGCCUGACGCAGCGACGCCGCGUGAGCGAUGAAGGCCUUCGGGUUGUAAAGCUCUGUGGGGUGGGAAGAAUAAGGGCUGGCUAAUAUCCAGCUUGAUGACGGUACCUCCUUAGCAAGCACCGGCUAACUCUGUG